rnacentral:rRNA from 1 species
AGCGAACGCUGGCGGCAGGCCUAACACAUGCAAGUCGAACGAACUCUUCGGAGUUAGUGGCGGACGGGUGAGUAACACGUGGGAACGUGCCUUUAGGUUCGGAAUAACUCAGGGAAACUUGUGCUAAUACCGAAUGUGCCCUUCGGGGGAAAGAUUUAUCGCCUUUAGAGCGGCCCGCGUCUGAUUAGCUAGUUGGUGAGGUAAAGGCUCACCAAGGGGACGAUCAGUAGCUGGGCUGAGAGGAUGGUCAGCCACAUUGGGACUGAGACACGGCCCAAAAUCCUACGGGAGGCAGCAGUGGGGAAUCUUGCGCAAUGGGCGAAAGGCUGACGCAGCCAUGCCGCGUGAAUGAUGAAGGUCUUAGGAUUGUAAAAUUCUUUCACCGGGGACGAUAAUGACGGUACCCGGAGAAGAAGCCCCGGCUAACUUCGUG